AGCAGCCGCGGUAAUUCCAGCUCCAAUAGCGUAUAUUAAAGUUGUUGCAGUUAAAAAGCUCGUAGUUGAAUUUCGGGGUCAGUAGAUUGGUCGUGCCACUGGUAUGUACUGGUCUUACUGGCUCCUCCUUCCCGAUGAACCGUAAUGCCAUUAAUUUGGUGUUGCGGGGAGACUGGACUGUUACUUUGAAAAAAUUAGAGUGUUUAAAGCAGGCUAACGCUUGAAUACAUUAGCAUGGAAUAAUGAAAUAGGACGUUCGAUCUUAUUUUGUUGGUUUCUAGGAUUGACGUAAUGAUUAAUAGGGAUAGUUGGGGGCAUUAGUAUUCAAUUGUCAGAGGUGAAAUUCUUGGAUUUAU
rnacentral:rRNA from 1 species